rnacentral:lncRNA from 1 species
UGUAGACGGUGGCCCUGUGCGGGAGCCGGCUCCCACUCGGCCCCUGCAGUGCGAUCCUUGGGGGCUGCUGCUCCUGCGCCGUCAGCCGGCGGAGGGCCGGCGCCCGGGCAGCGCUGAGGUUUCGGCCACCUCUCAGGUGUUCUCAGCUGCGCGGAGGACAGCGGCGAGUGACACGGGUGGGGGGAGGCCGAGUCGGGAGGGGACGACUAGGAGGGGCGCGGGCGGUGGGUGGCUCGCCCGGCGCUGUGUGCGGACUGCCAGCACUCCCAGCGGUGCACUGGGGCAGACCCUGCUCCCCUGGACCUGCCGGGAGCUCACCGCGUUCUUCGCAGUGCUGACAGUACCCCCAAGUUCUGUCUGCUCCCAGAGGCCUUGUGGCGUCACAGAACGGGACACGGUCGGGACGCUGCACCCUGGCUUUGCCUUCCGGAAGAUCACUAGGACUGCUCGCCUGUCUCUAGGCCUGCUUUAGGCUGCCUACAAACCAGCUUGGGUUGCGUGGGGUCUCAGGUUCUGACUUUCUGAGCUUGCUCCCGUGCCGCAAAACUAGCCCAGCUGAAAAAUAGCAUUCAGUGGUGAGCAUACCGUGUGUCCAGGAUGUUAUAAUACACAGCUCUGAAACUGGUUGGAGAAGUAAGUGCCCUAGCAAUUAUUUGAUCACCCUCUUCAGUAGUCAGAACACUGGCCAAAAGAAGAACUUAGACAAGAAAGAUGGGAGGCGAAUGUCUUUCCAGAAGCCUAAAGGGACUAUCGAGUACACUGUCGAAUCAAGAGAUUCUUUGAAUAGCAUAGCCCUGAAAUUUGAUACAACACCCAAUGAACUUGUUCAGUUAAAUAAGUUAUUCUCCCGAUCAGUCGUGACUGGACAGGUUUUGUAUGUUCCCGACCCUGAAUAUGUCUCCAGUGCUGAGAGUUCUCCAUCUCUGAGCCCCGUAAGCCCUCUGUCACCAGCGUCCUCCGAGGCUGAGUUUGAUAAGACCACUAAUCCUGAUGCAGCCCAUCCAAAAGAAGCAACUCCCGUGUCUGCUCUUACUGGUAUUCGACCAGCACGAGUUGUAUCUUCCACAUCUGAAGAAGAAGAAGCAUUUACUGAGAAAUUUCUUAAGAUUAAUUGCAAAUACAUUACCAGUAGCAAGGGCACAGUCAGUGGUGUGCUGCUGGUUACACCAAACAAUAUCAUGUUUGAUCCACAUAAAACUGACCCUUUGGUCCAAGAGAACGGCUGUGAGGAGUACGGCAUCAUGUGUCCAAUGGAGGAGGUGAUGUCCGCCGCCAUGUACAGAGACAUUCUGGACAGCAAAAUAAAGGAGUCUUUACCCAUAGAAAUAGACCUGUUAUCAGGAAGGGACUUCUGCCAUUCAAAGGAUGCAACAGGAAUGAAUACCGAGGAGGUAGACUCAAGAACUCGCGAUGCAGGUAACGACAGUGCCAGCACGGCUCCGAGGAGCACCGAGGAGUCUCUCUCUGAGGAUGUGUUCACGGAGGCAGAGCUCUCUCCCAUCCGAGAGGAGGGAGUCUCUUCGGAUAAGUCAUCUGGGGCGUCCUCAGAAUCCGUACAAACUGUCAGUCAGCCUGGGGUGGUAGGGUUGACAGCCCAGUCAGAGUCUAGUAGUCCUUCUCAUUUAAAAGCCAACACUGGACAUUCUGCCAAAGGAGCUGGGACUGCAUCUCAUGAAACGGAUUUAAGUCAUCUUGAAAUGGCUGCUCAGGAUGGAAAUCAGGGGACAGGUAACCUUCAGGAAGCAUUAGGCCCUACGGAGCCAAGCCCAAGUGUAAAAGGUCGUGCAGACCAGGAUCCUUCUCCUCAUGAGAGUGCCCUACAGCAAGAUGGAGGUGGGAAAGAAACCGUGCCUUGUGGAGAAACAGCAGAAUUUAAACAAAGGCAAACCAUUAACAAAGGCCAGGAAGGAAAGGAACAAAGUCAGGACUCAGAGGUUGAGGAGCUGCGCAAACUCUGGAAAACCCACACCAUGCAGCAAACUAAACAGCACAGGGAAAACAUUCAGCAGGUGUCGCAAAAAGAAAUUCAGCAUAAAAUUGCAUCUGCUGAUGGACAUGUAGAAGGUUCCGCACUUCUAAAGGAAAAGAGGAGGCAUCGAUUGCAUAAAUUCUUAUGUCUCAGAGUUGGGAAACCGAUGAGGAAGACGUUCGUGUCUCAGGCAAGUGCUACAAUGCAGCAGUAUGCACAGAGAGACAAGAAGCAUGAGUACUGGUUCGCCGUGCCGCAGGAAAGGACAGACCACCUGUAUGCCUUCUUCAUUCAGUGGAGCCCAGAAAUCUAUGCAGAAGACACUGGCGAAUGCACCAGAGAACCUGGGUUCAUAGUAGUAAAAAAGAUUGAGGAGUCUGAAGCAAAUGAGGAACCUACUAGUGAAGCAGCAGCCAGAGAAUGGGAGAUCACCACCCGGGAAGACAUCAGUUCCAAGCAGGCUGCUCCCGUGAAAGCAGAGCUGGAGUCUGAAUCUUUUCGGCCCAACCUCAGUGACCCCAGCGAGCUCCUGCUGCCAGACCAGAUUGAGAAGCUCACCAAGCAUCUUCCACCAAGAACGAUUGGCUACCCGUGGACGCUGGUCUAUGGGACAGGCAAGCACGGCACCAGCCUGAAGACCCUGUACCGGACCAUGGCAGGUCUGGACACCCCGGUGCUGCUGGUGAUCAAGGAUAGCGACGGCCAGGUCUUUGGUGCAUUAGCAUCGGAGCCAUUCAAAGUGAGUGACGGCUUCUACGGGACCGGAGAGACCUUUGUGUUCACCUUCUGUCCAGAGUUUGAGGUCUUUAAGUGGACCGGAGAUAAUAUGUUUUUUAUCAAAGGAGACAUGGAUUCAUUAGCUUUUGGUGGUGGAGGAGGCGAGUUUGCUCUUUGGCUUGAUGGAGAUCUCUACCACGGAAGAAGCCAUUCUUGUAAAACAUUUGGGAAUCGUACACUUUCUAAAAAGGAAGAUUUCUUUAUCCAAGACAUUGAAAUCUGGGCUUUCGAAUAA